GAUGAACGCUAGCGGCAGGCCUUACACAUGCAAGUCGAGGGGUAACAGGAGAGAGCUUGCUCUUUCGCUGACGACCGGCGCACGGGUGCGUAACACGUAUGCAACCUACCUCUUACUGGGGGAUAGCCCAGAGAAAUUUGGAUUAAUACCCCAUAGUAUCAUUCUUCCGCAUGGUUGAAUGAUUAAAGGUUACGGUAAGAGAUGGGCAUGCGCCCCAUUAGCUAGUUGGUGAGGUAACGGCUCACCAAGGCUACGAUGGGUAGGGGGUCUGAGAGGACUAUCCCCCACACUGGUACUGAGACACGGACCAGACUCCUACGGGAGGCAGCAGUGAGGAAUAUUGCGCAAUGGACGAAAGUCUGACGCAGCCAUGCCGCGUGCAGGAUGACGGCGCUACGCGUUGUAAACUGCUUUUAUAUGCCAAGAAACCUUCGGACGUGUCCGAAGCUGACGGUAGCAUAUGAAUAAGCACCGGCUAACUCCGUGCCAGCAGCCGCGGUAACAC
rnacentral:rRNA from 1 species